GCAGGCUGCAACUCGCCUGCAUGAAGUCGGAAUUGCUAGUAAUCGCGGAUCAGCAUGCCGCGGUGAAUACGUUCCCGGGUCUUGUACACACCGCCCGUCACACCACGAGAGUUUGCAACACCCGAAGCCGGUGGGGUAACCCGCAAGGGGGCCAGCCGUCGAAGGUGGGGCAGAUGAUUGGGGUGAAGUCGUAACAAGGUAGCCGUAUCGGAAGGUGCGGCUGGAUCACCUCCUUUCUAAGGAA
rnacentral:rRNA from 1 species